CACGGGGGGAGCAAGCGUUGUUCGGAGUCACUGGGCGUAAAGGGCGUCUAGGCGGUCAGGUAAGUGGGAUGUGAAAUGCCCCGGCUCACCCGGGGACCGGCAUCCCAUACUGCUUGGCUUGAGUACGGGAGAGGAUGUGGGAAUUCCCGGUGUAGCGGUGAAAUGCGUAGAGAUCGGGAAGAACAUCGGUGGCGAAGGCGCUCUACUGGACCACAACUGACACUCAGGGACGAAAGCUAGGGGAGCGAAUGGG
rnacentral:rRNA from 1 species